CCUUUUUACAAAGGGGGAAAGUGAAACUAAAAGAGAGCAAGUCAUUCGACCCAGAUCAAACAGCCUGAAGCUAAUGGAUGUGGCAUACAGGUCUGCUCCUUGCCGGCGAGGAAGCUCGAAAACCCCGAAAUUAUCCUCAGGACUUUGCAUGUGGGCAUCCUUAUCAUUCAUGUUGUUCCUGGGGCUGGAGGGUGGGGAAGGCCUUGGUAAGAUUCCAAGGCUCUUACUGGAUUCCCGAAGACUUUCAGCACCGUGAUCUAAACCAGCACCAUCAGAAGCCAGACGCCUUGCUUGACUGUUGCCUAUCAUAAGUCAUCUACCUAAUGGAAGCUCGAAGUAGAUGUUUCAUUUCCUCUUCCGCGGACAGACAUAUUGAACUGGGUCUUUUAAUCUAAAAACACAGCAACAUUAUCCUAAUUUAUGGAAAAUAUGUCAGAAAGCCUGAACAAUAUUAACUGUGGAAAAUCGGUACCUUCCUCCACACUUGGAUGGCUCCUCUUCAAGGUCGUCUUUUGUGCUGAAGCUGUGGAGAAGGCACUUUUCUAUCUUGCUCAGAAAUCGCAGCUCCUUGGCACUCAAGAAUGUCAUCGACAAUGACAUGAAACAAGAUGAGACCGCCUGUGGCUGAGAGACAGAUGGACAGGAAUGUGCCCAAGGACACACAGCUAUGAAAGGCGCGGCCAGGGUCUGGCUCCUGGCCCCUUGCCUCUAAAGGCAUGCCACGGAGGCAAGACUAGCUCAGGGAUAUGUUUCCCAGCAUCUCUGAAAGGCUCCCUGAGGAGGCAGGUCCCAGUGGGAGCCACAGUGACCAGCUCGUCCCAGCUUCAUUUGAUCAUCGGAGGUUGUGAAUUCCUUUCACCAAAGGCAGCCGUGAUCCCUGUGCCUGUCUGUAAAUUUCUUCCAUCGAAUAUGGCUCAGGCAGUGUCUCUCUAGGAAUGUGAAUAGGAUAGGGCCAGACCCACAUGCCAAACAGGCAGCCAGGGGGACGAAGGCCAUCUCCAGGGUAACUGAAAUCCAUGCUCUCAAGCGAGAGACUCUAAUGCCCUCUUGGAUUCUGCCCAGGAACACUGAGGUGAAAACACCGACGCACACAAGAGGGUUUCCGAGUCUGGAAGGCGGACAGGCCCAGUCUGCUUAUCGCUCCAUGGGGGACAGCACGCCUUGGGGGUCCCCUGGAGCCUCCAGGCAGUGUCCCCUCCCACUGGAGCCCAGCAUUUCCACCCCUGGAGGGAAAGUCUUCUGGGGCCAUCGUGGGAGACCAGGAAGGCUGUGCGGUUCAGGGACUGAGAGGCAGGGGCGGGAGGCCUUGUCUUCCCUCCAUUUCCUGCCCUGCUGGAGACAUUCUGAGUGUGUGGGGAGCAAUGCUGGUGGCGGGUGGCAUCUGCAUUUUUGACAAGUCUUUGCUGGUGAUUUUGAUGUGGGAUAUCUGUGGGCCAUAUUUUGAAAACUGCUGCUUUCCCUGCCAACACAGUUUUCAUUGGAUUCUCCUCUGGCCAGAGGGACAAUUCUUGGAGCCACUGGGGUCUCUAGAAAACAAAUCUGUGCUGAAGUCAGUAGGAGUCUUGGGACACCUGGGUGGCUCAGUCAGUUGGGCAUCUGCCUUCGGCUCGGUCAUGAUCUCAGGGUCCUGGGAUCGAGCCCCACAUUGGGCUCCCUGCUCAGCAGGGAGACCGCUUCUCCCUCUCCCCAUGUGCUUGUGCUCUCUCUCUCAAAUAAAUACAAUCUUAAAAAAAAAAAAA